CGCGGAGUGGAGCAGUUGGUAGCUCGUCGGGCCAUAACCCGAAGGCCGCAGGUUCGAGUCCUGCCUCCGCUA
rnacentral:tRNA from 1 species